CUACGGGGCGCUCCAGUGAGGAAUAUUGCACAAUGGGGGAAACCCUGAUGCAGCAACGCCGCGUGGAGGAUGACGCAUUUCGGUGUGUAAACUCCAUUUAUCAGAGAAGAAAAUGACGGUAUCUGAUGAAUAAGCUCCGGCUAACUCCGUGCCAGCAGCCGCGGUAAUACGGAGGGAGCAAGCGUUAUUCGGAAUCACUGGGCGUAAAGGACGCGUAGGCGGGUUUUUAAGUCAGGUGUGAAAUCCUAUGGCUCAACCAUAGAACUGCACUUGAAACUGGGGACCUAGAGUAUGGAAGGGGCAGGUGGAAUUAGUGGUGUAGGGGUAAAAUCCGUAGAUAUCACUAGGAAUACCGAAAGCGAAGGCGACCUGCUGGGACAUUACUGACGCUGAGGCGUGAAAGCGUGGGGAGCAAACAGGAUUAGAUACCCCCGUAGUC
rnacentral:rRNA from 1 species